CGUAGGUGGCAAGCGUUGUCCGGAAUUAUUGGGCGUAAAGCGCGCGCAGGCGGUCUUUUAAGCUGAUGUGAAAGCCCCCGGCUCAACCGGGGAGGGUCAUUGGAAACUGGAGGACUUGAGUGCAGAAGAGAAGAGCGGAAUUCCACGUGUAGCGGUGAAAUGCGUAGAGAUGUGGAGGAACACCAGUGGCGAAGGCGGCUCUUUGGUCUGUAACUGACGCUGAGGCGCGAAAGCGUGGGGAGCAAACAGGAUUAGAUACCCUGGUAGUCCACGCCGUAAACGAUGAGUGCUAAGUGUUAGAGGGUUUCCGCCCUCUAGUGCUGCAGCUAACGCAUUAAGCACUCCGCCUGGGGAGUACGGCCGCAAGGCUG
rnacentral:rRNA from 1 species